ACCAACAAAUGCUCCAUGUUGAAUACACCAGUUCCCGUCCGAUCACUGAUGUUAAGCAACGUUGGGCGUGGUGACUUGUGUGGGUGACCGUCUCGGAGAUCACGUGUUUUUGGUU
rnacentral:rRNA from 1 species